UACGUAGGUCGCAAGCGUUGUCCGGAUUUACUGGGCGUAAAGAGCGCGCAGGCGGCUGGUCAAGUCCGAUGUGAAAUCUCCCGGCUCAACUGGGAAACUGCAUCGGAAACUGAUCGGCUUGAAGAUGGGAGAGGGUAGUGGAAUUCCCGGUGUAGUGGUGAAAUGCGUAGAUAUCGGGAGGAACACCGGUGGCGAAGGCGGCCCGCUGGGCAGAGACUGACGCUGAGGCGCGACAGCGUGGGGAGCAAACAGG
rnacentral:rRNA from 1 species